UUUGGCCCUCCUAUCAUGGUUGACGGGGCAUAAGGAGGAGGAGGAAGGGCAUCUGACUGGGCGCUGUUGCAGUCCAUCGACUGUUUUCUUCAGAGGGAAAGGUCAGAGGAUACAGUACGGAGGGACACCUGCUGAAGCAACUUCAUGCAAAUAAGUCUCCUGUCCUGCAGAGGAGAAAAGGUGGGAAACCAAAUUGGAUCGAAUGUAAUUCAGUUCACCAAGCAGGGAAUGAAUCAAUAAUGCUGAGGAAUGGCUUUCGAAGGACUGAGUACCCACCUUAGAGAAUUCCAGCCACUAUCUACUAAGUAAGAGGAUACCCCAGCAAAGCAACUGCUGGAAUGCCUACAGUACAAGAGAUUCCACAGCGGAGGUAGAAAAAGGAUAAACACAAAAAACAUGGCGCA